CAUCUUCAGACUUCAGAAAAAGCAUUGUCCUGUACAGUGAUAAUCGCUGCUUCUUCACUUGUCCUCACAGGCUUAUUUGAAGUACAGCAGUGUCCAAGAGGAAAGCACUGCAACUUUCUUCACGUGUUCAGAAAUCCCAACAAUGAAUAUAGGGAAGCUAAUAGAGACAUCUACCUGUCUCCAGAUUGGACCAGCUCCUCCUUUGCUAAGAGUUCAGAGAGGAGGGAAAGGGCCAGUCACUAUGAUGAAUACUAUGGCAGGUCAAGAAGAAGGAGGAGUCCGAGUCCGGGCCUCUCCUACAAGAGAAAUGGUGAGUCUGACAGGAAGAGCAGUAGUAAUCACAGGGUGAAGAAAUCUCACAAACAUGGAAUGAAGAAUCGUGAGAGGCACAGUUCUCGGAGUAGAAGAAGAAAAAGAGAUCACAGUCUAGGCCCCUGGAGCCAGAGCAGGAGGAGCCGCCAUAGCAGGAGCCGCAGUCACAGUCAGAGCCGCAGCAGGAGCAGCAGCCGGAGCCGCAGCUGUGGCCGUGGCCGUGGCUGGAGCCACAGCCGUAGCCACAGCAGAAGCCGGAAACGAAGCCGGAAUCGGAGCCGGAGCCGGAGCCGGAACCGGAACCGGAACCGGAACCGGAAACGCAAUCAGAGCAGGAGUUGGAGCCAUAGCCAUAGCCAUAGCCGGAGCUCAUCAAGGUCCAGAAGUCCUGGCAGGAGGAGGUCAGGUAGUAGAGACAAAACCACCCAGAGUCCCAAAUCUAAAUAAACUUGGUUGUUUUUA
rnacentral:lncRNA from 1 species